UCAUGAAAGUGGGGAACCCAUCACGUCAGUGUAGUGGGGAACCCAUCACGUCAGUGUAGUGGGGAACCCAUCACGUCAGUGUAGGGGGGAACCCAUCACGUCAGUGUAGUGGGGAACCCAUCACGUCAGUGUAGUGGGGAACCCAUCACGUCAGUGUAGUGGGGAACCCAUCACGUCAGUGUAAUGGGGAAUCCAUCAUGUCAGUGUAGUGGGGAACCCAUCACGUCAGUGUAAUGGGGAAUCCAUCAUGUCAGUGUAAUGGGGAACCCAUCACAUCAGUGUAAUGGGGAACCCAUCACGUCAAUGUAAUGGGGAACCCAUCAAGUUAGGCACAGUGUCUACCUACUGAGGCACAGUGUCUACCUACUGAGGCACAGUGUCUAGCUCUUAUACGAUGCUAUAUAGAUUAUUCUUGUUCUUCAUGGUAUUCUGGUUCAACCAAAAAAAAAAAAAAUGACAGACUACAAAUUAUCCAGAACAUAAUGAGAUUCAUCUUAGGCCCAAAAGAGAGCAUAGGCCUACAGAAUUACAACAACUGGAUAUACUGACUCUUGAAGACAGUUAAAUCAUGUUUAUAAAAUUGCUUUCAUGCCUAACAAUAUUUUAUUACACAUCGACUACAUUAUUUUUGCCCUGCGUAAAAAUUAAAAUUUGAAUUUGACAAAAAUACGCAGCUAGGUAUCCAGGGUUUGUUUUGAGUCGCUGUUUUAAUGCACUUUUCUCCUUCAUUAAACAAAAUUAUUAACUAAGAAAUUAUGUUACAUCACCUUUAUGCUUCACCUGUUCUUAUUUCUCACUUAUCUUGAAUUAUUCAAUGUAUGUAAAGCACUAAAUCCACAUGGGUUAUUGAGAGCAAGGAGUGUUGCAGACUCAAUCAUUAAUUCAUCCUCUGAGGACAACAUGGAUACAUUUUAAUAUACUCUAGGUAAUUCAAUUGUUUUAAGACAAACUAUACACCUUAUAAACCAGGAAACGGAUGGGUUUUGAACCUGUAACAAGUGAGUCCUAAUACAGCAAGUCCUUGACUUGCACAUUGCCAAUCUUCUGUAUUGUUUAUCGUAUCAUUAUUAUACACAAUAAUGUAUAAUAACGUAUAAUAAUUGUGUAUAAUAUCAUUAUUAUACAUUAUUGCAUAUAAUAUCAUUAUUAUACAGAAGGUCCUCAAUGUGUUUGUAAGUUGAAGAAUUAACGUACACACAGGCCAGUGUUUUAAAACCCUACUUGUUCCAUAAUUUAUUAACAGUCGUGCUACUAUGAUUUCGUGAAUCAUACAUCUCAUAUCUUGUAACACACUAAACCCAAAAAUGGAUUAAAAAAAGUUUAUUACAAUACAUGCUUCUUGUCUUCC